GGUUAGCGUUUCAGAGUGAAAUA
rnacentral:siRNA from 1 species